GCAAAACCCCAAAACUUGCACCCAGUUGGGUCCCAAGGAUCGAGUUUGGGAAUAGCUGCAUAAAAGGCUCUGCAUGGUCAAUCGGACUUCUGCAGUGACCGUACAGCAUUUACUGCGAUACGGCCUCUACACAACUGUUAUGAAGGAGGUUGUCAAGGUACUGCCAAGCAUCACCCAGAUGGGUGCUACACUUCAGUAGUGGACUAUCCAGCCUACCUACAGAGGAGGAGGAGGAGGAGACAACAGACGGGGUGCCUGAUGAAGAUCUCUGGGCUUGUCUAAGUAACAGACUGACACUGCUCCCUCUCUGUGCCAUCGAAGCUCCCUCCUCGUAAGCUACUGCCCAGCCUUUCUGAACAACACCUUAUCUGAAUCUGUGGAAGACCAUCGCCCAAGACCUGACAGAUCUCCACAUUUCUUUUGUUUGUUUUUACAGGGUCUUUGAGAUUCUCUUUAAUGAAAAGCGCAAAAUAAAAUACAUGUAUUACUAUUAGCGCACAGGGAGCAGCGCAACCAGCGGCGACGUCAUCCAAAAACAUGACAUUGUUUGGAUGAAUAUAAAAUGUUAAUAUCUUCGUUGUGAGUGAUAAAAAAUUGUUUUUGUCCUCAGCCUCAAUUAUUUGAAUAAUUGAAUGGGUGUUUUGUGCACUAAGUCAUGAUUAAAGUGUGUUAUUAGGACUUUUAAAAUCUGACUUCUCUAGGACUCGCGUCUAAGGCAUUGCAUCUGUGCUAGAGGCGUCACUACAGACACCCUGGUUUGAAUCCAGGCUGUAUCGCAACCAGCUGUGAUUGGGAGUCCCAUAUGGUGGUGCACAAUUGUCCCAAGUGUUGUCCGGGUUGGGCCGGUGUAGGCCGCCAUUGUAAAUAUGAAUUUGUUCUUAACUGACUUGCCUAGUUAAAUAAAUAAUAAAUAAAUGUGGCCAUCUUA